rnacentral:rRNA from 1 species
UACGUAGGGACCAAGCGUUGUCCGGAAUCAUUGGGCGUAAAGAGCGUGUAGGCGGCUUGUUAAGUCUUGCGUGAAAUCUCGGGGCUCAACCCCGAGCGGUCGUGAGAAACUGGCAGACUAGAGUGCGGGAGAGGAGAGUGGAAUUCCUGGUGUAGCGGUGAAAUGCGCAGAUAUCAGGAAGAACACCCGUGGCGAAGGCGGCUCUCUGGAACGCAACUGACGCUGAGACGCGAAAGCGUGGGGAGCAAACAGG